UUGGAAACACCUGAUCCCAUCCCGAACUCAGCAGUGAAUCGAUGUAUCGCCGAUGGUAGUGUGGGGUUUCGCCAUGUGAGAGUAGGUCAUCGUCAAGA
rnacentral:rRNA from 1 species